rnacentral:lncRNA from 1 species
AAUUUGUCUUAGUUGAUAUUCAAGGCUUUAAAAGUCAUUAUUCCUGGGCUUGGUAAGUGAAUUUAUGAGAUUUACUGCUCUAGAAAGUAUAGAUGGCCAAAGGACCGUUUUGUAUUGCUUCCUGAUUACCAGUCUGAUUAUACCAUGUGUGCUAAUAUACUUUUUUUGUUAUAGAUUGUCUUAAUGGUAGGUCAAGUAAUAAAAAGAGAUGAAAUAAUUUAAAUUCUUAA